GUUUAGGGUGGUGUUGAAGCAUUGGAAGCUUAGAAACUCUCCCCUAGUGAUUCUGUUGUGCAACCAGGAUAGAAAACCACUGGCUUGGUCCAUACUCCUCGUCAUCUACGGCUUUAGGACCACACAAUUGGAAAUCGUCCCUCUUGGAAUUUGAAAUGAUGAUUAAGAACCUCUUCAUUGCUAAAAUACCGUGAUUCUAUCCUAACCAUGCUGAUUUGAAUCACCCAAGUCACAUAAUGAAAAGAAACCAGACUCUACCUAAAAGAAAUCAAGGGUAAGGGACAUAAUAGAUUUUAAAAUACCUCUCAGUGUGCCUUAUUUCUGUGCAUGUCAAUACAGUUUCUUUCCCUCCCUCCCUUCUCCCGGGAUUGCUCCAGGAAACGGGAGGACAUCAGCGCCUAGAGAGGAAACAUCACAGGCAGUUGCUGUCAGACAAAAGGGGUGGUUUGAAUCAUGUUUUAUGUUACUUGCACCAAGAAGAAUCCUCUAUCAUACAGUUGAGUGUUCAAUCAAAUGGCUGCCUGGCAUAUAUGCCUCCUUCAUUUCUGGCAGAGAAAAUGAAAAGCAAACUCCAACCCAGGGUCCUCUCAGGUUGACAGAGAUGAAGAUUUGGGGCACUGAGGGAGUAACAAGUGACACAUUGUAGGAGGCCAGGAAAUGUUCCUCUUCGAGCUUCAUCCUAACCCAACUCUUCUGAGCUAGGAGCACACAGAGCUCUCUGAGGUCUGAUUCUCCCACGCCUGGUUAAAUGGGAUAGAACUUCCCAUGUCCACAAAGAGCUGCAGGAGCUACCUGGUUAACAAAACCUUCAAAUCCUUUUUUUAAAGAAGUGUGGACCAAAUAAAGGACGUAGUGGGCUAAACCCGGGCUGUUCUCUCUUGACUUCCAGAACAGGGACCAACCGUGUUCCACCUGCACUCUCUCCUUCUUGCUCAAAUUUCCCCACUUGCCAAGAGAAAGUACCAACUCCAAGGCUGACUUUGUUGACAAGGGCAAGAGGUCGUGACCAAGGUGGGAACACUGAACACAAGCAGGGGGCAGUUUUCCAGAUCAGA
ensembl:lincRNA